CUGGGCUGGCACAGGGAGGACUUCUGUAAGAAUAGGAAGAGAAGGGGGCCCUAGGGGGAGAGUGUCUGCAGUCACCCCCUGACAGGAGGGAGGUUUGUUAGAGAUUAUAGGGCCUGCCAAGAAGCCAAAGGGAGAAAUAGCCACAGGGAGUGGAGAAAGUUCAGAUGGGUGGUAUACCCAGAGGUUUGAAAGAGGAAGCUACAGAGAGCCCCAGGAAGUAACAACCAGGGCUGGGUGUAAGUAGCCCACAGUUGUAGAGCAGAGGUCCCUGGACUGGAUCCUGGCGUAGAGGGCAGAGCCGGGUUUCCCCUACUAGCCACUGGGGAAGUGGCACAGCCUUGGACAUAAAACACAGGCCUGCCUGGAACAGCAGCUUGUCUAGAGAGACCUUGACAGACCCCUGGAAGGGGAUAAUUGUUAAAGUGGUCCGGCCAGAGGGCUGAGUCACAAAGACCACCCAGAGUUCUGGAGGAUGCAAUUGAAGACAACAAGUGACUGUGGAAGGGGCGUUGAACCAUGGCGAGCUAAUUCUCAGAUGGGCUGCUCGGAGGUGUGCAAGUGAACUUAAGAGGUGCAGGAAUGAUGCAAAGCAGCCAAACAGGAAAAUGAAUGCUUGCUCUUCAUUCCAUUCUCUGGGGAGAACGUCUCCAUUCCCACCUGUAAUGUCUGUGAGAAGCUCAGGCAACAGGUCGAAAACAGAAGAAAACUCCUGGGUGGAAUGGAGACAGGUGAAAGUGUUCCUGGCAAAGUGCCUUCUGGUCUGCCGACAAGGGUUCCUGUGUUUCACCCAGAUGACACAGAAUCUACUCUCCGUAUAGGAAUCAACAGUCUGAAAUUGCCAGCCACCCCCAAAUUCUGCCAGUGCUUCUGUUGUGGAUCUGCAGUGCCCUUUGGGGUUGGAAUACAGUCCUCUCCUAAACAGAGAUUAUCAUGCCAUGAUUUUCAUGUUACAAACCAUGGCCACUAGAAGCCUUGAAAAGGCCUGAUUUUUAGAAAGUGUUGAGCACCUGCACUCUGAAAGUAAAAUGUCUUUAAAAUAUCUAAAGUCGGUCCCCUCAAAACCGAGGCACCUGCAGUCAUGAUUCACCUUUUGAAAAUCAUGGCCUCAAAUCUUCCUUCAUGUGUAACUUCAAUUCACAGCUAAAUCCCCAUCUCCAAAAGUGGCCAGUCUAGUUCAUCAUACUCAGUCAUCCAUGUCUUCUGCCUUUUAUCCCAGCCAUAUGAUUUUAAACAACACAUAGCUCUUGUAAUUUGCCAUUACUUAUAUCCAUCCAUAUUCCCAAGGUAUGGCCCGGUUGAACAACAUGGAAUGGAAGCCAGGACUAGCAGUCAGGAAAUCUUGAUGCUCCUUCUGGCUUCUCCAACAACUCAACUGUGAAAUCUUGGGCAAAUAAUUUAGGCCCAGAUCCUCAAAAGGUAUUUAGGCUCCUAACUAAAUCAGUGGAAAUUAGGAGCCUAAAUAUCUUUUGAGGAUCUGGGUCUUGCUUUUACAUUUCUAAUUUGCACAAAUGAAGAUAAGAUUUCCCUGCCUAACAGGGGUCUUAUGAGGCUUAAGUCAUUAAUGUAUGUCAUGUGCUGUGAGAACCUAGGAUGAAAGGUGACUUAGAAGUGCCUGAAGUCUCUAAUAUUUAGGGAUAUUUUCUCUGCAGUAUCUGUGCCUUGACAUCUCCACCCCCAACCCCCUCUCCCUAGAUGGGAAAGUAGAAGAUGAUCAAGUUGGAAAGCAAUGCAAAUGGGAAUCUUAUAUUUAGUUUAAUCAAAAUGUUAAAUUGUGGAAAUUAAUUGAAAAUUCUCUCAAGGUAAAUUUCAUGGGAGAUUGAGUUAGCGCAGACCCCUGGUCUGAUAUAAGUGGGUGGCGUUCUUUAGAUGACAGUGCUGAGGUUGUGCAUGUGUCUGGGUUUGUGUUAAUCAGAUUCUGGACUUCAUAAUUUCCCAAAUUAAAUUCCUCACUUUAUUCAAUUAGCAUUUUAAAGAUUAUUUGCAUUGCUUCCAUCUCUGAUGAUGCAGAAUAUUACAUGCAUCUUUAGCUGAUGUCACUGUCAAAAGGUAUGUGGGGAACAGAGAACAGGGAAGCAUUAUGGCUGCUUGGAGAGUUCUCAGAUCAUGAUGGCAAAAUGUAAACAAGGGAAUUCUGGAAAAAUAUUCCUGUUCCUAGAGCUGCUCAAGUAUGUGAGAUAAUAGCAACCAAGAUUGACUGGCCCAGAAGAAAAUGGCUAUGCUACCACUGCAGCUAAUGGCUAUUCCCCUCUAGCACAUUAAAUGGCCCUACAAUUUUCUUUCAUGAAAAGAGUUUAACUUCCGUAGAAAACGUUGACUUUGUUUUCACUAUUAAAAUACCUAAAAACCAAAUACUUUUUUGAUGCAGAAAUGCUGCCAUGGUGUCUCAUGGCAUCAUUCUUCUCUAUGGGGCAUUUUCCCCUGCUGGACUACAUCCCUCAUGCAGUGUCUUUGCCAGGAGCUCCCAUAAUUCACCAUGGUGGCUCAGCAAGAGGAGAAACUUUAAUGCAUCAUGCGAAAUAUAGGAUAGUCUCUCUGGCUAGACUAUAGAGGAGAAUGGGGGCAUAAGGCACCAUGAUGGCAUUUCCUAAUUGAAAUGUUCAGUUCUCAGCUAGAAGUUUUUGCUGUUCCCCAGACCCCCCCUCCCCCAACGUCCCAAGAAGUCAAAUUUCUGUGGAACACUUUGAUGAAAAUUAAACUUUUCCAAUGUUUUGAAUUUUCCCAUGGGGGUGGGGGAGUGCAGAAUUCUGACCAGCUUUACUGCUAAGCUAGUGACCUCACAGAGAGGCAUGAACCUUCACGUCAGCCCAACAAGGGAGAGGUGAGGAGCUAGUGACAUUACAUAAGCUUUGAGGAAUGAAUCGCAGCCUGUUACUGUACUUUGCCUUACUACUGUACAGAAGGUUUGUCCCAUAUAAUCAGGAGUAUGGGGACAAAAUAAAAUCUUCCUUCAUGGAUUAGAAUUCCAUAUAGAUGUAGGAGCUCAGGAUUUGGCCCUUGUCCACAGUCUAAUCACCAUCUCCAUGCAUUUUUCUUCCUGAGUUGUCUCCUGCACGGGGGGAGAAGCAGGUUUCCGCUCUUUGUGGGACGGUGUGUGGAGCUGGCCCGCACGUCCUGAGGAUCCCAGGCAGUGGGAUACUUGGGCUGUCUGUAUGGAAGCUGUGUGCCAUUGCUGCUUCCUUAAUCCCAGCGUUCUGGUACCCGAAGACAUGCUGACACAGGGCUCGUGCAGUCAGUGGUGGCCCUUGGUGCUCCUCUUAAAGGGAAGUUGUGGUAGCUGGUGUUCAACGAUAAUACAGAUGAGCUAGUAUUUUUCUGUGAAAAAAAUCUGGGGGGGUAGUGAGGAGACAAUGUGAGUCCCUCUGUUCCCUUGUUUCCUUCUCAGGUCCUUGGAUGUCAGGGAAAGUCCUUGGGACAGCUGGAAAAUGAGGCUGUAGAGAUGGCCAAGUCCCCUUCCCAUGGAAGAGGGGUGCGAUCUUUGUGCAGGCCUCUAGGGAAUGAUUAGGCCCUCUGUUACUCAUCUCUUUCUCAGGUAAAGAUCCCAUGGAGUUCAGUGAGUUUUGCCUGAGCAAAGACUGAAUAAGGAUGUCAGGCUUUGGGUCAUAAUCAUUUUAAAGUGAGAGCAUGGAGUACGGCUGGUGGGAUUCUGUUGAUCCCCUUUCAAAUAGGAGACAGGAAAUGCUACCAACUGUUUCCAUCUCUUCCCUCCCCCCCCCCCCCAACCAUGAAAGAAUGAGGCACGAAGAAGCAGCCAGUAAUAUUUUGACUGUAUUUCAAAGUUGCUGAUUGUAAACAAACUUUGUUGAAGAAAUAAAAUCACAUGACAAGAUUUCA